GGGCGUGUAGCUCAUUUGGUAGAGCGCUCGCUUAGCAUAUCUGGAGCUCCUAGAAUAGGAGACUCUUAAGGUUAUGCGAGAGGUACUGGGUUCGAUUCCCAGCUCGUCCA
rnacentral:tRNA from 1 species